rnacentral:lncRNA from 1 species
AUUUUUUUCCCUCCUACAGCGAGUAAAACAGUGUAAAAAAAAGUCUUCUGUAUCUUUGUUCAGUUUUUCCUCACAGUGUUUCGUGUGAUCUGUUUGGGAAAUGUUCUGAGUGCACCACUGCAUUUGUCACUUUUGGUAGCAUCCGAGUAAACCCUCAUUGACGCAGAAAGCAUUUGGGCCUUUUGUGCCCAGCCCCAGGUUGGUCACUGGGAUCUUCACUGACCAGGGUUGAUGUGGUAAUAAGCCAUGCUUUGCCUAGUGAUCACCCUACCGUGGUCCUAUGGGUUGUUUCCAGCUUUCCUGCUGUUAUUGGAAAGAUGGGUUUCCUUUUCUUCAAAUCUUUUGUGUUUGGUGUCUUCUGUAUGAUAACAUGGGAAGAUUUGGAAAAAAAAAAAAGAAACUCUCAGAGUUCCCGCUGUGGCACCAUGGAUUAAGAACCUGAUGGCAGUAGCUUGGGUUGCUGUGGAAGUGUGGGUUUGAUCCUUGGCUGCUGCAGUGGGUUAAAGGAUCUGGUGUUGCCACAACUGCAGCUUGGAUCCAGUCCCUGACCUGGGAAUUUCCAUAUGCUGCUGGUGCAGCCAUAAAAUAUAAACAAACAAACAAACAAAUCUCUCAAAGUAUAUUUGUUGUAAAAAAAAAAAAAGUUGGAAAGUAUAGUCUAAAUCGAAAAAAACCAAAAAACCACAACAAACCUAUAAUUCUAUUACCCAGGCAUUACCUUUAUUAACAUUUUAACAGCUUUAUUGAGAUAUAAUUCAUAUGUCAUACACUUUACCUAUUUAAAAUACACAAUUCAAUGCUUUUUAGUAUAUUCACAGAAUUGCACAAUCAUCAUCACAGGUGGGUUUAUGAUGUUUUCACUGUCCCCUGUAGAAACUCCAAAUGCAUCAGCUGUCACUCGCCAUUUCUAGCAAACCUCCCAGCCCCUGGGAACCAUUGAUCUACAUUUGUCUGCAGAUCUGCCUGUUCUGGACAUUACGUAUACAUGGAGUCAGACGGCACGUGGUCUUUUGUGUCUGGAUUCUUUCACUGAGCAUAAUGUUUUCAAGGUUCAUGCAUGUGGAAGCAUGUAUCCGUGUUUGGUUCCUUUUUAUUGUUGACUAUUUCAUGGAAUGGAUAUGCCACAUUUUGUUCAUCCAUUCUUCGUUUCGUGGCCAUUUGGGUUGUUUCCCCUUUUGUGCUAUUAUGAAUAAUAUUGCUAUGAACAUUUGGGCACAAGUUUUUGAAUGGUCAUAUAUUUUCAUUCUUGGGUAGGUACUGUGGAGUAGGAUUUCUGGGUCAUGUGGUAACUCCGUGUCUAACCUUUUGAGGAACUGGCAAAUUGUUUUCCAAAGCAGCUGCACUAUUUUACAUUCCUGCCCGCAAUGUAGGAAGGCUCCAGUUUCUCUGCAUCCUCACCCACAGUUCCUAUUAUCUGUCUUUUUUUUUUUUUUUUCAGUCUUUUUGAUUGUAGUCAUUCUGGUGGGUGUGAAAUGGUAACUCCUUAUGGUUUUGAUUUGCAUUUCCCUGGUGGCUAAUCUACUAAUAUCUUGAUACAUGUUCUCCCAGAUGUUUUUUUUUUUUAUGUGCACACAUUUGCAUAGAUAGUGUUUUUCUUCCCCGAAGUCGAAUAUAUCAUAAAUCUUUCUUUUUUCUUUUUUUUUUUUUUUUGCCUUUUGUCUUUUGUCUUAUUAGGGCCGCACCCGCAGCACAUAGAGGUUCCCAGGCCAGGGGUCUAAUCGGAGCUGUAGCCACUGGCCUACACCAGAGCCACAGCAACGCGGGAUCUGAGCCACGUCUGCGACCUACACCACAGCUCACAGCAACGCGGGAUCCUUAACCCACUGAGCAAGGCCAGGGAUUGAAUCUGCAACCUCAUGGUUCCUAGUCAGGUUCAUUUCCGCUGUACCACGACGGGAACUCCUCAUAAAUCUUUCUGUGUCAAUAAAUUUAAUUCUAUAAUGUUAUUCUCACUUGCAUAAUAUUUCUCUGAAUGGGUAUACCAUAAUUCAACCAUUCAACCAUUUAGAUAUUGAAGCUGUUUUCAAUUUUCACUACUAUCAACACUUGUGGUAAACUGUAUUGAUAACCUCUUGAACCCAUCCUAACUGCUAAUUAUUUCCUUGGGAUAAAUUCCUAGAACUGGAAUUUGCUGGCCGUAUGUACUUUUUUACAGCCCUCUCCUCCAGCCCCCAAGCAAUAUCGGAUGUUUUUAAAAGCACAGAACUAACUUUAAAUUAGUUUCAUGAUAACCAUUUUAAAGUAAGUAAGCUAUUUUUUUCAGCAGGCUAGAUUUUAAGUCAAGCGAAAAUGGAAUGUUUAGGUUUUAUUUUGCGUAUGUUUUGAAGACGUGAAUAACCACAACAGUUUCUUUAUGAUACCUUAUGUACUUGUACCUAAAGGCUAUUGAUAAAAUGUUUUAUUCUGAUUUGUUAAUUUGUUCUUAACAAAUCUCAUCAAGCCUCACUUUUUCCGUCUUUAUAAGCUUUUUUUUUUAUCCUUUUUUUGGGGGUGCAGGGCAACACCCAAGGCAUGUAGAGUUUCCAAGGUCAGGGAUUGAACCCAUGCCACAAUAGUGAACCAAGACCCCACUGCAGGGUCUUUUGGUCUGCAGUGGUUUCAGGUCAGCUUUCUAGCAGAUGUGGCUUCCAUGGGCACCCUAAAAUACCUCGGGAUAAUUUGGUUUUGCGGGUAGCCCCCCACAAUUCUUUGUUGUUGUUGUUUUCAUCUAUUUAGGACCAAACUGCUACACAUGGAGGUUCUCAGGUUAGGGGUCAAAUUGGAGCUGUAGCCGCUGGCCUGCAACGCUGGGUCCUUAACCCACUGAGCCAUGCUAGGGAUCAAACCUACAUAGUUACGGAUGCAAGUCAGAUUCGUUUCUGCGAAGCCACGGUGGGAACUCCCAGACAGAAUUCUUUUGAUAGCUGGUUGUGAAGCCAUUGGAAAUUUUUGACUCAAAACUGUUUGUAAAUCAAAAGUUAAUGAAUUGUUUGUGUCUUUUGGAGUCCAUGCUUCUUAAAACAUAUAGCUUGUCCAUAUAACUGUUUCUCCUAGGAAAAUUAAGUACCGCUUGCCAAUAAAGCGAAAUAUUUGCUGGUGUUUUGUUUUUCCCACAAAUGUACCUGAACUUAUUCAUCCAAAGGAAUGUUGUCUCUUUCAAAAACAAAAUCACCCCUUCAGGGUCAAUGUUCAUGUUAAACAAAUCAGUCCUUUUUCUUCCCGCCAAACUUUUCGGUAUUUCAUUUGGUAAUUCAACUUUAAAGUGAAAAAGGGAGGGGGGUUCCCUGGUGGCUCAGUAGGUUAAGGAUCAGGCAUUGCCACUGCCGUGGCUCUGGUUACUGCUGUGGCUCUAGUUCGGUUCCUGGCCUGGGAACUUCUGUAUGCUUCAGGUGUGGC